rnacentral:misc_RNA from 1 species
UUGUGGAGGAGGACGCCGAAGGUGGGGCUAAUGACUGGGGUGAAGUCGUAACAAGGUAGCCGUACCGGAAGGUGCGGCUGGAUCACCUCCUAACAGGGAGACAACAAAAUGUUAAAUAUUAAUUUUGUCACCUUAGGUCGAUCGGUAUCUCACAUUCUUAAUUUAUUAAGGAUUUUAUUUCCUAAGUUUUUUCUAGGUCACACCCAUUAUUUUCCCUGGGCCAUUAGCUCAGGUGGUUAGAGCGCACCCCUGAUAAGGGUGAGGUCCCUGGUUCAAGUCCAGGAUGGCCCAUAUCUCUAUGUUGGGGGUAUAGCUCAGUUGGUAGAGCGCCUGCUUUGCAAGCAGGAUGUCAGCGGUUCGAGUCCGCUUACCUCCACUGAUUACCACCUCUUCCAUAAUUUACAGAAGGGAAAUUUUUGAGUUGUGAUCAUAUUCUGAACGAAUCUAGCUUCCUAAUCAAACUUAUUAAGAUGCUGGACUCAUUGAAUUAAAUUCAUUGUUUUCAGAGAACCUUGACAACUGCAUAGAUUAUUUUUAAAGACAAUAAGCAUCUUUAAUGAUGCAGAUUUUUUAUUUGUGCGAAUGCAUUAAUAACAAUUCUAUUAAGCUGAUGCUUCAAUUUAUGAAGUUAUUGGUCAAGCUACAA